GGAGCAGUCUGAAAAAAAGAUGCAUCACUGACAGGACAGGCUCACAUGUUGGAGAAGUGAGGUAAAUACUCAGGUGAGUCACAAACGGAGAGGCAAGUUAACCUGUGAAAGCGUUUUUCUGCACAGAGACUUAACAAAGCUGCAGGGUUUCCUCCCUGUACUGAAUAAUCGCUCAUGAAGAGGGUCUACUUUUAGACAACUUUGAUAACAAAGAAUUACUCCAUUAAUUCGGCAUCUUUAGGCAAAGCUUUGAAAAGUGUUUUGACAGGUUGAAAUAGCAGGGGACUCAGUCAGUGAUAUGACAGAAGAUACCGAAACACAAUCAGGUUGUACAAGCGAGACAAAUUUCCGAUGAAGUGAAACCUUCGAGCGUGCUCCAAUUAUCAGGGUUCACACUUCUCAGCCUCUCAGGAAAAGCUUGGUUGCUGGAAAAGAGGCUCAGGCCAAUUUUCAAACCUCAGAUACAGGAGGGACAAUGUGGAUUUCUUCCUGGCUGUGAUACACUGGACCAUCUGUUUACCCAUGCAGGGCUCCUGGAGGGACAUAGGAGCACAACCAGUCUUCAUGUGCUUUUUGGACUUUGGCUUACAAUAGUGUUCCUUUGGGUGUCUUGUGAGGGGUACUGCAGGGACAUAGGGUUCAGGGCAGUUAUUGUGAGCUAUCCAAUCUCUCUAUGAACAAAGUAAGAGCUGUUUCCACAUAAUCAGCCUACAGUCAGACAUGUUUGUGGUGCGUGUUGGCCUCUACCAGGGUUUCCCCUUGUCACCAAAUCUGUUUGGGAUUUUCAUGGAUAGGGUCUCAAGGCACAGCUGGGGGGAGGAGGGUGUACAGUUUGGGAGCCACAGAUUUCCAUUUCUGCUCUUAGCAGAUAAUGUGGUUCUGUUCUUCAGGCCGUGACUUCCGGCAGGCUUGAGAGCAGUUUGCAGCGAAGUACGAAGCGGCUUGGAUGAGAGUCAGCACCUCCACCUCCAGCUGCUGUUCUGAGCAUUAUUUGUGGCUAUAGAGUGGCUUUUUGUUUGAGCUCCUUAUGGCUCCUCAGACCGCUGUGUAUUGCUGGCGUGCGGUCGUUACUAAAGUUGGUAUAACUAGAGAAGCAAGCAGUCAGCAACAUAUAUCUCUAGAUGGGGUGUUUAAAUUAGUGUUAUGGUGUGUCUGACCCUAAAUUAAUUUUACGCCAGAAUAUCCCUUUAAGCUCAGACAUCGGAGGGCACUAAGAAUAGAGUUGCUGCUAAUUUCCAUCAAAAGGAGUCAAUUGUAAUGGUUCAACCAUCAUUACUGUGUACGGGCAACUGCUGCCAUCACCAAAACAGAAAACUUGGAUUAUAUUCCAAGGAAUACAAAAGUAAAGAGAUUAGAUCUCAUUUCUCAUGAUUUUGGAAACAGACAUUCUGACAAAACUGAAGAUGUAUUUCUGAUCUUUCUGGAAAGUAAAUAUUCUGAGUAUAUUAAAAACUCAAUGUUCUGCAGCAGCAUGUUUAAUAAUAAUAAACAGUUUGAUCAAGUUUUGUGAUUUUUAUUUUUAUUUCUCUUGUUCUCUUGUUUUUUAUUCAUCAGCAUAAAUUCACAGUGUAAAUGUGACUCACUCCUCCAGCUCAGCUUGCAGCACUAAUGUAUCACACAGUAGAAGAUUUCACACUCUUUUUUCACCCAAUGUGAAGUCAAAAAACAGCAAAGGAUCUGGCAAAAAAUAAUAACUUCUCAGUUGCCUUACUUCGUGUUUUCUUCCAGCUCUCAGUCUGGAGUCUCUUGAGGACUCAGGUGAGUAAAUAAACUGGCACUGAAGUGAGCUGAGAUCUGUUUCUGUGCCAAAAAGGGAGGAGGGAGAGACAUGCCGUCAGUGCGCUCGCUCAUCUCUGGUGACUCAAAGUUUUUUUAUGAUUCACGUCUGAACAGAAGCUGAACGAAGACGCUCUCUCCCUUUUUUUUCUCACCACCUCUUCCUAUUAUUCCACUCCUCCUCUCCAUUCAUCUCUUUUUUGUGUGUCCUCUCCUUCCUGCCUGCUAAUUGUUGUUGUACCACACUCUUUCUUCCUCCCUCCUCUGAGCCUGCAGUUCUCCUCCUCAGGCCUCGGCGUCUGCAGGCCCUCGCUGGAGGACCUCCAGGAUGUUCAAAACACUCUCACACACCCUCCUCCACCUGCGGGUCCGUGCAGCCCGACAGGGGAUUUCACUGCGCUGAUGACGGG